GAUGAACGCUGGCGGCGUGCCUAACACAUGCAAGUCGAACGAGAAGCUAACCUCUGAUUCCUUCGGGAUGAUGAGGUUGGCAGAAAGUGGCGAACGGGUGAGUAACGCGUGGGUAAUCUACCCUGUUUUAGUGGGGGAUAACCCUCCGAAAGGAGGGCUAAUACCGCAUAAUAUCUUUAUCCCAUAAAGAGGUAAAGAUUAAAGAUGGCCUCUAUACUAUGCUAUCGCUUCAGGAUGAGCCUGCGUCCUAUUAGCUAGUUGGUGGGGUAAUGGCCUACCAAGACCACGAUGGGUAGCCGGUCUGAGAGGAUGUACGGCCACACUGGGACUGAGAUACGGCCCAGACUCCUACGGGAGGCAGCAGUGGGGAAUAUUGCGCAAUGGGGGAAACCCUGACGCAGCGGCGCCGCGUGGAUGAUGAAGGCCCUCGGGUUGUAAAAUCCUGUUCUGGGGGAAGAAAGCUUAAGGGUCCAAUAAACCCUUAAGCCUGACGGUACCCCAAGAGAAAGCUCCGGCUAAUUAUGUGCCAGCAGCCGCGGUAAUACAUAAGGAGCAAGCGUUAUCCGGAAUUAUUGGGCGUAAAGAGCUCGUAGGCGGUCACUUAAGUCGAAUUUAAAAGACCGUGGCUUAACUGCGGUUCUGGAUUUGAUACUGGGUUACUUUGAGAAUAACAGGGGCAAGUGGAACUUCCGGUGUAGCAGUGAAAUGCGUUGAUAUCGGAAAGAACACCAAUGGCGAAGGCAGCUUGCUAGGUUAUCUCUGACACUGAGAUGCGAAAGCGUGGGGAGCGAACGGGAUUAGAUACCCCGGUAGUCCACGCCGUAAACGAUGCAGACUAGCUAUCAGAAGUAUCGACCCUUCUUGUAGCGAAGCUAACGCGUUAAGUCUGCCGCCUGGGGAGUACGGCCGCAAGGCUAAAACUCAAAGGAAUUGACGGGGACUCGCACAAGCGGUGGAGCAUGUGGUUUAAUUCGACAAUAAGCGAAGAACCUUACCAGGGCUUGACAUCUAGAGAACCUGUUGGAAACAGUGGGGUGCCCUUUAGGGAGCUCUAAGACAGGUGCUGCACGGCUGUCGUCAGCUCGUGCUGUAAAGUGUGGCCUUAAGUGGUCAAACGAGCGAAACCUGUAUCCUGUGUUAUUUUUCACAGGAGACUGCCGUAGUUUAUACGGAGGAAGGUGCAGACGACGUCAAGUCAGCGUGGCUCUUACGCCCUGGGCAACACACGUGCUACAAUGGCAGAAAUAAAGAGUUGCGAGAUCGCAAGAUUAAGCUAAUCUCUCAAAAACUGCCUCAGUACGGAUUGAGGUCUGCAAUUCGACCUCAUGAAGAUGGAAUCGCUAGUAAUCGUGGGUCAGCAUACCACGGUGGAUACGUUCUCGAGUCUUGUACACACCGCCCGUCAAGUGAGCCGAGUCGGCGGGGCCCGAAACCCGCACCAGAGCCCAGACAUGGAACACGGAUGAAUAAUCCGAGUGGAAUAUUCUGGGCUGCGGUG
rnacentral:rRNA from 1 species